GGUUGUAGGUCAGUGGUAGAACACUUGCCUAGCAUGCAUGAGGCACUGGGUUCAAUCCUCAGCACCA
rnacentral:tRNA from 1 species